rnacentral:piRNA from 1 species
UAAGAUGCUGUGCAAAUCUUUGAUGGCUU